ACCAGACUCCUACGGGAGGCAGCAGUCGGGAAUAUUGCGCAAUGGAGGAAACUCUGACGCAGUGACGCCGCGUAUAGGAAGAAGGUUUUCGGAUUGUAAACUAUUGUCCACAGGGAAGAUAAAAGACUGUACCUGUGAAGAAAGCCCCGGCUAACUACGUGCCAGCAGCCGCGGUAAUACGUAGGGGGCAAGCGUUAUCCGGAUUCACUGGGUGUAAAGGGAGCGUAGACGGCCAUGCAAGCCUGGAGUGAAAGCCCGGGGCCCAACCCCGGGACUGCUCUGGGAACUGUGCGGCUGGAGUGCGGGAGGGGCAGGCGGAAUUCCUGGUGUAGCGGUGAAAUGCGUAGAUAUCAGGAGGAACACCGGCGGCGAAGGCGGCCUGCUGGACCGCGACUGACGUUGAGGCUCGAAAGCGUGGGGAGCAAACAGGAUUAGAUACCCCUGUACA
rnacentral:rRNA from 1 species